rnacentral:rRNA from 1 species
GACGAACGCUGGCGGCGUGCUUAACACAUGCAAGUCGAACGGAAAGGCCCUGCUUUUGUGGGGUGCUCGAGUGGCGAACGGGUGAGUAACACGUGAGUAACCUGCCCUUGACUUUGGGAUAACUUCAGGAAACUGGGGCUAAUAACGGAUAGGAGCUCCUGCUGCAUGGUGGGGGUUGGAAAGUUUCGGCGGUUGGGGAUGGACUCGCGGCUUAUCAGCUUGUUGGUGGGGUAGUGGCUUACCAAGGCUUUGCCGGGUAGCCGGCCUGAGAGGGUGACCGGCCACAUUGGGACUGAGAUACGGCCCAGACUCCUACGGGAGGCAGCAGUGGGGAAUAGUGCACAAUGGGCGGAAGCCUGAUGCAGCAACGCCGCGUGCGGGAUGACGGCCUUCGGGUUGUAAACCGCUUUCGCCUGUGACGAAGCGUGAGUGACGGUAAUGGGUAAAGAAGCACCGGCUAACUACGUG